rnacentral:rRNA from 1 species
GGCCCUUACGACCAGGGCUACACACGUGCUACAAUGGCGCAUACAAAGAGAAGCGACCUCGCGAGAGCAAGCGGACCUCAUAAAGUGCGUCGUAGUCCGGAUUGGAGUCUGCAACUCGACUCCAUGAAGUCGGAAUCGCUAGUAAUCGUGGAUCAGAAUGCCACGGUGAAUACGUUCCCGGGCCUUGUACACACCGCCCGUCACACCAUGGGAGUGAGUUGCAAAAGAAGUAGGUAGCUUAACCUUCGGGAGGGCGCUUACCACUUUGUGAUUCAUGACUGGGGUGAAGUCGUAACAAGGUAACCGUAGGGGAACCUGCGGUUGGA